rfam:Aedes albopictus isolate Foshan contig2506, whole genome shotgun sequence.
UGUUCUGUGGCUUAGUUGGUUAAAGCCCCGGUCUAGCGAAUACGGAGUCGUGGGUUCGAAUCCCACCAGAACGC